UUGGUAAGAGAGCCCAACUGCCCAUUCAACACUGGCAAGAACUUUGAGUACAGCUGAGAACAUGGCAAGGCCCUAAUCACAAACCUGUGUUCAAUCAGGAGCUGCUAUCUGGAUAAUAUUCUGGCUGUGAAAGUUCUUCAAGAUUGGGAGAAUUCUGAUACCGUGAAAACACACUCACUGACGGGCUCCUGAAAAGAAAGUCAGAAGAUACAGAGACUAUUUCGAAGAAAAACAGCACCUGCUAUUGAGCACAUAGAAGCUGGAAUGCUGAAAACAUUUACCAAGCCUCCUGAACUGGCAAGGAGAUUAAAGGCAAGAAACUGAUUUCUGAAAUCUCUGUCUUGCUUUAAUAGGGAAGCUGUGGAGAGACUGAACCAUUGCCUGAGGACUGCGAUGGGGGCCAACCAAAUUUAAUCUUAAUCUUGGUUGUAGGAUUUUGUCCCAAGGCAAAUUGGGCAUAUUCAGAGAGAUAUGGGCAUUGGACAAGUCAGAUACAGCAGCCAUGGAUUGUUACAGAUCUAAUAAAUGAAUGUUCACCUCUAUCAAGAGUCUUAAUAAAUUGGAACAAGCCAGUAAUCAAGCCUAACAACCAUAAGGAGAAUGAACCUGUACUACAAGGUUGACUGUUCCAGAUGUUGCAAAUCACCCCAAUUUGUCAUUUCUGACAUUCAGAGCUGGAACGUGACCACUUUCUUGUGUUAUGUUGUACCACUGGAGAUUGCAUGAUGGAUUGAGAUCACUGUCAUGUAGGUUAGUUUUCAAGGAUGAAAAAAAAAAUCCACACAACUCAAGACAAAUGUAAUCAUACUGUCUGUCAACAGUAAUCUCCUUGGUAAUAUCACUUAUCGGAUAAUAACUGCAAGUGUUAAAGUCAUCAUUGCCCAUUGCCCUCACAAUUACCAAGCAGUUGCAUACGAGUGACCAUACUAUUAUUCCUGCUGCUGUUAAGACAGGAAAUGAGGGGUGGUAAAAUGAAGAGAAGCAUUGCUAAAUGUCAUAAGGCUGUUGUAUUGUUUCACAAGCUGUACUGAAAUUAGAGAUGAAGAAUAGUCUGUCAUUCUAAAAAAAAAAAAUUGAAAUACAUUAUUGCUUGUAAUAUUUCUAUCAUUCAGCCUAGAAAAAUGGCUGUGGCUCAACAUAAAAAAAAAAGCUUUAAAAUACUGUUUGACAGAUGAAAAGGAAAAAGAGAAUGCAGAAUUAAAGGACUUUGUUGUGCAUGCACUACAGAUUAGUGAUUUUUGCAAAAAACAACUAUUAUAUUUAUCUACAUCCUGCCUCUCCCUCAAGGAGCUUAAGGUGCCCUGCAUGGUAUGCUCCAUAUUUCAUCAUCACAAUAACCCUAUGAGGAAGGCAACUGUGAAGCUAAGUACUUACCCACAAUAUGUUGGGCUGCAACAUUCUGUUAUACAUAUCUAGGGUCUGACCUGGAAGUUUAUUGGCGUGACCAUGAAUAAGUGAAGUGAGCCUGAGUUCCAUUAUCAGAGGGUAUGUGUACCUACUAUUAUACCCAGUGAUGGCAUGAUGACUAUUCACUAUUUAUCAGUUAGGUUUAAAACAAAACAAAACUCAAGAGCCUGGAUCAUCAAGAGUACGCUAGUUCAUGAAAACGUAUUAUAUUAUAAAUGUGGUAGUCUUUAAGGUGUCACAAGACUCCUUGUUGUUUGUGAUAGAACCAACUGACACAACUGCCCCUUGGAAAUUUUUGACAGGGAAUUUUAUCCCAUUGUCAUGUGUGCUAUAUUGUCGUGGUUUUUGUUUAGUAUUUGCUGCUAUAACAAUUCAAUAUCAUAUAUUUCAAUUAUAGAAAUACAAAAGCUAGAGGGGGGAAAACAUAAGCAAUAAUAGUUCUUUCCACUGCCUAGGUAUGUUUAUGCUUUUAUUACUGAGAUGCAUGCAACUGCUAUAAAAGCCUCAGUGUUCUCUAGAAGACAAUAAAAUGUAAUUAAAUAUU